rnacentral:tRNA from 1 species
GCCCCCGUAGCUCAGUGGAUAGAGCGACCGCCUCCUAAGCGGUAGGUCGUAGGUUCGAUUCCUACCGGGGGCACCG